rnacentral:rRNA from 1 species
CGAGCGGACAGAUGGGAGCUUGCUCCCUGAUGUUAGCGGCGGACGGGUGAGUAACACGUGGGUAACCUGCCUGUAAGACUGGGAUAACUCCGGGAAACCGGGGCUAAUACCGGAUGGUUGUCUGAACCGCAUGGUUCAGACAUAAAAGGUGGCUUCGGCUACCACUUACAGAUGGACCCGCGGCGCAUUAGCUAGUUGGUGAGGUAACGGCUCACCAAGGCGACGAUGCGUAGCCGACCUGAGAGGGUGAUCGGCCACACUGGGACUGAGACACGGCCCAGACUCCUACGGGAGGCAGCAGUAGGGAAUCUUCCGCAAUGGACGAAAGUCUGACGGAGCAACGCCGCGUGAGUGAUGAAGGUUUUCGGAUCGUAAAGCUCUGUUGUUAGGGAAGAACAAGUGCCGUUCAAAUAGGGCGGCACCUUGACGGUACCUAACCAGAAAGCCACGGCUAACUACGUGCCAGCAGCCGCGGUAAUACGUAGGUGGCAAGCGUUGUCCGGAAUUAUUGGGCGUAAAGGGCUCGCAGGCGGUUUCUUAAGUCUGAUGUGAAAGCCCCCGGCUCAACCGGGGAGGGUCAUUGGAAACUGGGGAACUUGAGUGCAGAAGAGGAGAGUGGAAUUCCACGUGUAGCGGUGAAAUGCGUAGAGAUGUGGAGGAACACCAGUGGC